CUUUCUACUAUUUUGUACAUUGUUGAAAUCUCCCAAAGCACCUCAGCGCCAUCUGUUGACAGCCACAGGUCAAACAGAGACAGUGGCGUCCAUAGGGACAAUAACGGGCCAAGUUCAUUCAUCAUGUUAAGUUAUUACAAAAGUUUAUUUACAAAUGAUUCCCGUUUCAUCUGGAUCUCUGUAACUACUCGUAUUUGGAUAAUACGACUGCUUGUUAUAUGAGUGACCCAGCAGCAGUGCUAUGAGAGCUAGCAGCAUGCCGCUCCUUUAAUGACCUAUGAGAGCUGUGGACCCAGGCCAUACACAGGGAACUUGAGAACCUGCUGAGCAACUUCUGUUGAUCUAAGCCAGCAGGUGAGCUGCAUCAAUUCACAGGAGUCCGUCAUAGACCUCCACAGCCUGAGAAAUUUAACCUCUCAAUGAAAACCACAAUGUCCUGACCUAAAACCAGAGAUGUGAACAAUAGCAAAUAAAACACAGGAUAUACUCACAGGCUUAUAAAAGUAAUGAAACUCUGGAUUGUUCAGAAGAAUUUGGAGAACAACUGAUGCAGUUUCUCAACAAAGAAACUUGCCACUCUGGAUUCACCCAGAACUUAUUAAAAAGUUUUGUUUACAAUAACAGCACACCUGUAAAAGCAUGUGGUUGAACGUCCCACCUCUAGAGUGACCACUUCCUGUUCCGCUUCAUCUCGGACAGCAGCAUGGAGGUAUUUAGUCGUCCGAGACGAGGGCUGUCUGUUUUCCUGCGGUUGCUUCACCCGAUUCCCCUCCACUGCACACCAGAUGUAACCAAAGCAGAGGACAAAACAAGUGCAUUAUUUUUUCAGAGGCAUGUCUAGUAUGAGACAGUGAUGCGCGCUGACAGGGCCUGCUAAUUGGAGUAAAUUAAUUUACCUCGGGCGCCAUGUUCUCACAAAGUGCCGCGCUCCAUGUGAAUAAGUGAUGAUCGGCAGGGCUCGUAUAAGCCCCGAGUUUUUAAAUCAUUUAGCAGCGCAUUCUGCUAAUUAGCACAGAGAAAGCCGGCUUUCAGCUACAAUUAAGACGGGCCUCUGUCAGUCAGGGGACCGCAGCCGGGAAGAAGCACUGAUUUAUUCAUCCUGCAAGCAGAUGCUGAGUGCAUUGGGGGUUUGGAUGGAGGGACUUGGAGAUGAAGCAAGCAAGGGGAUCUGAGAGAUGAAGGCAGUGAGGGAGAGGACUGCAGUAUGUGUGUGGGUUGUUAUUAGUGUGCUGGUGCAGAAAUUUAGUUUUAUUUUUUUUUCUCCGCAAGAAAAGGCCCAAACAAAGCAAUGAGACGAGCUGGUGCAGUACAGUAAGUCUACCCGUGAGGUUGUGUGUGUUAACUUGUGAUUGGUCACCUAUGGGCUUUACUACCCAUGCUUAGUUGACAAGACUCUUUCCAGGACUGUUGAGAAGUCUGCUGUUACAUUUCAGUUAGUAGUUGAGGUUGAGAUUGGUUAUAAUUUAAAGGGACAUGUCGUUCCAAACCUGUAAGACAUUCGUUCAACUUCUGAACACAAAUGAAGAUACUUUUAAUGAAAUCUGAGAGAUUUCUGUCCCUCCACUGACAGACUAUCACUUUUUGAUGCUUCAGAAAUUUCAUAAAAAGAUCGUAAAACUAAUCCAUAUGAAUUGAGUGGUUUAGUCCAAAUUUUCUGAUCACUUUAUAUGAUGAACAGAUUUAAUUUAGGCUUUUAUUCACAUUAGUUAUGGCAAAUGGAAGCAUGCUUGCUUGAAGUGUGAGAACCAGUGAGGUUCAUUCUUGUGUGUUAUGCAGCACAUUCGAGCUUCCCUAAGAAUCAUUAAGCAAGUAUGGUUGAGCUUCUGUUUAUGUUUGCUGAUCAAUGUGAAAAAAAGCCUAAAUUAAAUCUGUUAUCAUAUGAAGCGAUCAAGUCUCUUGAGAAGCGUUUCAGCUUUAAAUGCUCCCUGAAAUGUUCUGCUAAAAUAAAAUCUUGAUAGUUUAAUAUUUGAAAAUGAACAAAUU